UACGUAGGGUCCGAGCGUUGUCCGGAAUUACUGGGCAUAAAGAGCUCGUAGGUGGUUUGUCGCGUUGUUCGUGAAAACUCACAGCUCAACUGUGGGCGUGCGGGCGAUACGGGCAGACUAGAGUACUGCAGGGGAGACUGGAAUUCCUGGUGUAGCGGUGGAAUGCGCAGAUAUCAGGAGGAACACCGGUGGCGAAGGCGGGUCUCUGGGCCGAUAUUGACGCUGAGGAGCGAAAGCGUGGGGAGCGAACAGG
rnacentral:rRNA from 1 species